GCACAAGCAGCGGAGCGUGUGGUUUAAUUCGAUGUUACACGAAGAACCUUUACCAGGGUUUUGACAUGCAAGUGGUAGGAAGCCGAAAGGUGAUCGACCCUUCGGGGAGCUUGCACAGGUGCUGCAUGGCUGUCGUCAGCUCGUGUCGUGAGAUGUUCGGUUAAGUCCGCUAACGAGCGCAACCCUCGCUGUGUGUUAUAUGUGUCACACGGGACUGCCGGUCUUAAGCCGGAGGAAGGUGGGGAUGAUGUCAAGUCAGCAUGGCCUUUAUAUCCUGGGCUACACACACGCUACAAUGGCCAACACAAUAGGUUGCUAAGCCGCGAGGUGGCGCCAAUCCAUAAAGUUGGUCUCAGUUCAGAUUGUAGGCUGCAACCCGCCUGCAUGAAGAUGGAGUUGCUAGUAACCGCAGGUCAGCUAUACUGCGGUGAAUACGUUCCCGGGGCUU
rnacentral:rRNA from 1 species